UAAGCAUAUCAAUAAGCGGAGGAAAAGAAACCAACAGGGAUUGCCUCAGUAACGGCGAGUGAAGCGGCAACAGCUCAAAUUUGAAAUCUGGCCCCCUCGGGGUCCGAGUUGUAAUUUGGAGAGGAUGCUUCGGGUGUGGCCCCGGUCUAAGUUCCUUGGAACAGGACGUCACAGAGGGUGAGAAUCCCGUACGUGCCCGGUGGUCGCCCCCGUGUGAAGCUCCUUCGACGAGUCGAGUUGUUUGGGAAUGCAGCUCAAAAUGGGUGGUAAAUUUCAUCUAAAGCUAAAUAUUGGCCAGAGACCGAUAGCGCACAAGUAGAGUGAUCGAAAGAUGAAAAGCACUUUGGAAAGAGAGUUAAACAGUACGUGAAAUUGUUGAAAGGGAAGCGCUGGCAACCAGACUUGCGCGGGGUCGAUCAUCCGGUGUUCGCACCGGUGCACUCGGCCCCGCGCAGGCCAGCAUCGGUCUGGGCGGCUGGAUAAAGGCCUUGGGAAUGUGGCUCUCUUCGGGGAGUGUUAUAGCCCAAGGUGCAAUGCAGCCCGCCUGGACCGAGGACCGCGCUCCGGCUAGGAUGCUGGCGUAAUGGUUGUCAGCGACCCGUCUUGAAACACGGACCAAGGAGUCUAACAUCUAUGCGAGUGUUUGGGUGUCAAACCCAUACGCGUAAUGAAAGUGAACGGAGGUGAGAACCCUUAAGGGUGCAUCAUCGACCGAUCCUGAUGUCUUCGGAUGGAUUUGAGUAAGAGCAUAGCUGUUGGGACCCGAAAGAUGGUGAACUAUGCCUGAAUAGGGUGAAGCCAGAGGAAACUCUGGUGGAGGCUCGCAGCGGUUCUGACGUGCAAAUCGAUCGUCAAAUUUGGGCAUAGGGGCGAAAGACUAAUCGAACCAUCUAGUAGCUGGUUCCUGCCGA
rnacentral:rRNA from 1 species